UACGGAGGUGGCAAGCGUUGCUCGGAAUCACUGGGCGUAAAGGGCGCGUAGGCGGGGAGGUAAGUCGGGUGUGAAAUCCCUCGGCCCAACUGAGGAACUGCGCCCGAGACUGCUUCUCUUGAGUCCCGGAGAGGAAGAUGGAAUUCCCGGUGUAGCGGUGAAAUGUGUAGAGAUGUGGAGGAAUACCGAUGGCGAAGGCAGCCCCCUGGGAUAACACUGACGCUCAUGCACGAAAGCGUGGGGAGCAAACAGG
rnacentral:rRNA from 1 species